AUUAUCAUGUGUACGUCAGCGUGAAUGGUGUUUCUGCAGUGGGUUUUGAAAAUAUUCAUGGCACUUCCACGUUCAGUAGCGGAUAUGGUUCUACACCCACCAUUCAAAGUCUCAGCCCACAUUCUGGUCUUCCAGGGACUGUGGUGACAAUCCGAGGAAACAUUUACACUGAUGUGUAUGGAAGCAAUGCUGAGAGUCAGAAACCACGAUUUGUUAGG